AGGAAAAUGGAAUUCCAUGUGUAGCGGUGAAAUGCGUAGAGAUAUGGAGGAACACCAGUGGCGAAGGCGACUUUCUGGUCUGUAACUGACACUGAGGCGCGAAAGCGUGGGGAGCAAACAGGAUUAGAUACCCUGGUAGUCCACGCCGUAAACGAUGAGUGCUAAGUGUUAGAGGGUUUCCGCCCUUUAUUGCUGAAGUUAACGCAUUAAGCACUCCGCCUGGGGAGUACGGCCGCAAGGCUGAAACUCAAAGGAAUUGACGGGGGCCCGCACAAGCGGGGGAGCAUGUGGUUUAAUUCGAAGCAACGCGAAAAACCUUACCAGGUCUUGACAUCCUCUGAAAACCCUAAAAAUAGGGCUUCUCCUUCGGGAGCAGAGUGACAGGGGGGGCAUGGUUGUCGUCAGCUCGUGUCUUGAGAUGUUGGGUUAAGUCCCGCAACGAGCGCAACCCUUGAUCUUAGUUGCCAUCAUUAAGUUGGGGACUCUAAAGGGGACUGGGCGGUGACAAACCCGGAAGAAGGGGGGGGAUGACGGCAAAUCAUCAUGGCCCCUUAUGACCCGGGCUACGCACGGUGUUACAUUGGAUGGUACAAAAAGGAAGCAAAACCUCGAAGGGGGAGCUAAGCUCGUGAAAUCCGU
rnacentral:rRNA from 1 species